UACGUAGGUGGCAAGCGUUACUCGGAAUCACUAGGCGUAAAGCGCAGGUAGGCGGUUCGGUAAGUCUCUUGUGAAAGCUCCCGGCUCAACUGGGAGAGGUCAAGGGAAACUACCGGGCUAGAGUGUGGCAGAGGAAGCUGGAAUUCCCGGUGUAGCGGUGAAAUGCGUAGAGAUCGGGAGGAAUACCGAUGGCGAAAGCAGGCUUCUGGGCCGUCACUGACGCUGAGCUGCGAAAGCUAGGGGAGCAAACAGG
rnacentral:rRNA from 1 species